rnacentral:lncRNA from 1 species
UUAGAAGCGUGAAACAGAGUUUAUAAGCCCUAGCUCAACGAAUGCAUUUUUAUUCUCCGUUUUUGCCCAAAAUUUGCCGCGCUCGCUCUCUUCCCUCCCUCCCACCUGCGAUUCACUUUUCCCUCUCCCUCUUCACUGUUGUCUCCCUUUUUCUUCUUCACCAGCCACAUUCUCUCUCUCACUUCCUUUCCCUCUUCCUCUCCAUUGCCCACAUAUACACACAACGUGGAGAAAAUAGAGGAUUUGGGCGUGAGGAGGUGAAUGGAGGAGGCUUGAUUUGGGCGUGAGGAAGCGAACAGAUGAGGCUUGAUUUGGUUGUUUGGUAAGUUACUCUCACAACCACUGCUAUACUCACACACAUACACCCACCAACUGCUAUACACACACAAACACACAUUAUCACACACAGUAUACACACACCCACUGUCAAUUAAUUGUGCAUGCAGUGGAGGGAGGGGAAAUAUACAACAAUUGAAUUAGAAUCCAUUAUUUUUUUUAUAAAUUAAAUGCUUUUGCAGAAACCAUUAUUACCGGCUGAAAAGUAAGUUUGGAUAAAAAAAGUGUGUAAUUUAGCUACAGCAUACAGAGGUUUGAUUUUUCACUUCUCUAGCUGCCCUCAUUUUCCCAAAGUGUGGCC